GAUGAACGCUGGCGGCGUGCUUAACACAUGCAAGUCGAGCGAGUGAGUUCUUCGGAACGAUCUAGCGGCGGACGGGUGAGUAACACAUGGGCAACCUGCCUCAUAGAGGGGAAUAGCCUCCCGAAAGGGAGAUUAAUACCGCAUAAAAUUAUCGAGUGGCAUCACAUGAUAAUCAAAGGAGUAAUCCGCUAUGAGAUGGGCCCGCGGCGCAUUAGCUAGUUGGUGAGGUAACGGCUCACCAAGGCGAUGAUGCGUAGCCGACCUGAGAGGGUGAUCGGCCACAUUGGGACUGAGACACGGCCCAGACUCCUACGGGAGGCAGCAGUGGGGAAUAUUGCACAAUGGGGGAAACCCUGAUGCAGCAACGCCGCGUGAGUGAUGAAGGUCUUCGGAUUGUAAAGCUCUGUCUUUGGGGACGAUAAUGACGGUACCCAAGGAGGAAGCCACGGCUAACUACGUGCCAGCCGCCGCCGUAA
rnacentral:rRNA from 1 species